UCACAAUCACACCUAUUGAUUCCUGGUCAGCAGAUGCUGCAGCUCAAAAAGCUCCAGUAUGACCCUUGAAACGACUGCAUGAAUGAAGUCUUGCCUUUUUUUUAAUGGCCUCCCGACAUCUACAGCUGAUCCUUACAAGAAGCAUGAGGACAGCCUGGAGACAACCGGCUUGUCCGAAUCAUCUUGAGUCAACAAGAUAUUCACACUGUGGACUCGGAAGCGAGGCCAGCUUCGUGGGCAUGUGACCAGUGUGGUCACAUAGGGCCUGUUCUCAGAUGGGUCCCAUGUUUGUUUUAAUGCUCUGCUGUCCCUGUCUUGAAAAUCCUAAUAUAUAUAUGUAUAUAUAUAUUUUGCGGU